CACGUAGGGGGCUAGCGUUGUCCGGAUUUAUUGGGCGUAAAGAGCGUGUAGGCGGCCAGGUAGGUCUGCUGUGAAAACUCGAGGCUCAACCUCGAGACGUCGGCGGAAACCAUCUGGCUAGAGUCCGGAAGAGGAGAGUGGAAUUCCUGGUGUAGCGGUGAAAUGCGCAGAUAUCAGGAAGAACACCCGUGGCGAAGGCGGCUCUCUGGGACGGUACUGACACUGAGACGCGAAAGCGUGGGGAGCGAACAGG
rnacentral:rRNA from 1 species